UACGGGGGGGGCAAGCGUUGUUCGGAAUUACUGGGCGUAAAGGGCUCGUAGGCGGCCAACUAAGUCAGACGUGAAAUCCCUCGGCUUAACCGGGGAACUGCGUCUGAUACUGGAUGGCUUGAAUCCGGGAGAGGGAUGCGGAAUUCCAGGUGUAGCGGUGAAAUGCGUAGAUAUCUGGAGGAACACCGGUGGCGAAGGCGGCGUUCUGGACUGCAACUGACGCUGAAAAACGAAAGCCAGGGGAGCAAACGGG
rnacentral:rRNA from 1 species